UCCCUGGUGGUUGAGUGGCUAUGACUCUGCACUCCCAAAGUAGGAGGCCUGGGUUCGAUCCCUGGUCAGGGAA
rnacentral:tRNA from 1 species